rnacentral:rRNA from 1 species
UCGAGGGGUAUAGUUCUUCGGAGCUAGAGACCGGCGCACGGGUGCGUAACGCGUAUGCAAUCUACCUUUUACAGGGGGAUAGCCCAGAGAAAUUUGGAUUAAUACCUCAUAGUAUGUGAGAAUCGCAUGGUUUUCACAUUAAAGUUCCAACGGUAAAAGAUGAGCAUGCGUCCCAUUAGCUAGAUGGUAAGGUAACGGCUUACCAUGGCGACGAUGGGUAGGGGUCCUGAGAGGGAGAUCCCCCACACUGGUACUGAGACACGGACCAGACUCCUACGGGAGGCAGCAGUGAGGAAUAUUGGACAAUGGGCGCAAGCCUGAUCCAGCCAUGCCGCGUGCAGGAUGACGGUCCUAUGGAUUGUAAACUGCUUUUGUACAGGAAGAAACACUCCCUCGUGAGGGAGCUUGACGGUACUGUAAGAAUAAGGAUCGGCUAACUCCGUGCCAGCAGCCGCGGUAAUACGGAGGAUCCAAGCGUUAUCCGGAAUCAUUGGGUUUAAAGGGUCCGUAGGCGGUUUAAUAAGUCAGUGGUGAAAGCCCAUCGCUCAACGGUGGAACGGCCAUUGAUACUGUUAAACUUGAAUUAUUAGGAAGUAACUAGAAUAUGUAGUGUAGCGGUGAAAUGCUUAGAGAUUACAUGGAAUACCAAUUGCGAAGGCAGGUUACUACUAAUGGAUUGACGCUGAUGGACGAAAGCGUGGGUAGCGAACAGGAUUAGAUACCCUGGUAGUCCACGCCGUAAACGAUGGAUACUAGCUGUUGGGCGCAAGUUCAGUGGCUAAGCGAAAGUGAUAAGUAUCCCACCUGGGGAGUACGU